UGACUAACAUGCAUUUUAUCCUUUUAUAAAUAACUAGGGGCGAAUCUUGUCUUUUCCACCUAAGCAACACACACCAUUCUAAUCCUCUAAGCACUUCUUUGGUAUAAAAGGAAAAGAAGGUCUUCAUCUCCCACCUUUGCCUCCCCUUGCUCUUUAUUCCAUGUUGACAGAUAAACCUUAUUCAAGUCACAUGGUUAUUUGUUUAAUCCAUUAAAUUAAAACAAACAAAACACAAAAAAAAAUUGCUUGCAAAUACUAAUGGAGUCCAGAGGUGAACUCUUAAAUCUAACAGCAUCUUCCUUCUAUAGUGAAAAUCCAAAUUUAUCUCAAUCCUAAGUAAAACUCUAAAUUACCACAUGAUUUUUUAUUGGUCUCCAAGCAAAGAGACAAGAAUAUAUCAUGAUAUCUCUCCUAAAGUUUAAGAUGUUAUGUGAAUGCAUAAAAUUGACUAAAGCUCUAACUAAGGCCCCUCACAUAAGACCCACUCUAUGCACACUUGAAGUGCAAAGUAUGCAUAAGCUCGCUAUACCACUCGAUCAUAGAAACUAUGAUAUCAUGUCAAAGAUCAUCUCUCCUAAAAGAACAAGCUGUUAGGCAAAGUCAAGGGAUUGGUUUUAGUUUUACCUCAAGCCAGAUUAUAAGGAAAUCAACAGUUCAAGAAAGGGACAAAUACAUACAUGAUCGAAACCAGUUAGAUGAAGAGAGACUGCUCAAAAGUUACAACUUUAGGCACAAUAGUAAGUAGUAACUAACACAAAAUUCAUAUGGUGUAUUUUAACUUGAGAAACAAACAGUGGCACCAAAAGUGAUAUCCAUAAAUAUUUUGUUGUAUGGAAAAAUAAAUAAGUGGAAGACCUGCAGCCACAAAAAUGACAGAAUUUGAACUUCAUCAAUUAUACAAAAACAUAAGAAGAAAAUCAAAUCUCCUAAAAUGAAGGAAACUCAAUGAAAUAUAAUAUUAUAAGAUCUCUGAUGAACUCUGUGUUCAUCGGGUUAGAAACAAUUGUAGCACAAUAGUUUACAAAUCACCUAAUCUUGUUUUAAGUGAUCUUUUGCUCUUUUGAUCUUUCAAUAGAUCCCAUUUUCUGAAGCCUGAUUUGAGCUUUGAACUUGGCUAUAAACUCGCUAGCUUUCUUAUCCACCUCAGAAUCCAGAUCUGAAUCAUUGACACAUUCAGGCACCCUGUUUUCAUCUGAGCUCACCCGAGUAUUGUCAAGCUCGAUAUCUGAAUCUUGCUUGGAUAAAUUUUUGGAUGGCUCUAGCUUAUCUCUCCUACGAUGAUUGGAAAAACUAAUCUCAGGCUUAGGACAAUAAGAAUCCAGAGUUUUCUUACUGACUCCUUUCAAUGGAAGGUCUGAUUCUCCGCUCUUCAUUUUAUCUUUUCUCAAUACUGACUCAACAUCUUUAUUGUUCUUUUCAACCUUUUCAUCAGUUUGCUUGCUAGAUGUUUCUCCUAUUCUCAUUGUCCCUGAAGUCAGGCCACUGGCUCUUCUUGUUCUGACUGAUUUUCCCCGUGAUGGAGCUUUUGCUACUCUUGCGGGCUUUUCUGAGUCCGACUGCAAAACCUGCAUCCGCAACUCUUUUUUGCCAGAGGGAUCCUCACCUUCAAUCUCAUUUAAACCCCUCAAGUCACCAUUCAAACUGCUCUUUAUGUCAUCCAGGAGUGAGGAACCAUUAGUAUAUCCACGAGCUUGAAAUGCUUGCAAUGAAGCUUCACCAUUUCUCCUAGCCAAAGGUGAUGGUGAACUUGAAGAAGAUCCAUGUGAGCUCUUCUUUUCCCCUAAGUCUUCCUUCGGCGAAUUCAUAUUCUCUGACAAAGCAGAAUCAAGCAAAGAACAUAAACUUGACUGAGAUGAGAAAGAUCCCAUAGACUGGAAAGACCGUGAGUUGAGUGAUUCAAGUUGAGUUUCAUCAACUGACAUUGGCCUGAAAUGAGAAGGAGGUGAAUCAGCACCAAAUUUUCCUUUAGAUUCAAUCAUUCCAUUUCUAGAAGAAGACACCUCGGAAAUCUUCUUUCCCAAAUCCACCUCUUGGAAAUUCAUGUUUCCUGAAGCAGGCACAUAGGAAGUCUUCUUUUGUUCCAUUUCCUCCUCUGGGAAAUUCACAAUUUCUGAAUCAUGCACAUAGGAAGUCUUCUUGGGUCCGAUGUCCUCCUGAAAAUUCAUAUUUUCUGAAGUAUGCAUAUGGGAAGUCUUCUUUUGUCCCAUGUCUUCCUCUUGGAAGUCCAUAUCUGAUGAAAUUGAAUCCAAGGAAGAAUGCAUUCUUGCAUUGGAAGAGAAGGAUCUCACAGCCUCAAAAGUGUUUGAAUUUGAACCGAGUGAGUCAAAUUGAGUUUCAUCAACUGACAUUGGCCUGAAAUGUGAAGGAAAAGAAGCAGCACCAUAUUUUCCUUUAGUUGCCAUCUUUCUAUUUCUUGAUGAAGACCCCUGGAAAAUCUUCUUCCCCAAAUGUCUCUCUUGAAAACUUGUAUUUUCAGAAGCAGGCACAUAGGAAGAUCCCAUAUCUUUCUCUUGGAAAUUCAUAAUUUCUGAAACAGGCACAAAGGAAGUCUUCCUUUGCCCUACGUCUUCCUCUUGAAAAUUCAUCUUCUCCGAGGCAGAAACAUAGGAAGCUUCCUUUUGCCUCAUCUCUUCCUCUUGAAAGUUCAUAUUAUCCAACAAAAUCGAAUCCAAGGAAGAAUACAUGUUGUUAAGAGAAGAGAAAGAUGUUGUUGACUGCCAAGACCCAGAACUGAGUGCUUCAAAUUUAGUUUCAUCAGCUGAAAGUGGCCUAAAAUGUGAAGGACGGGUAACAUUGCCAUGUCUUUUCUCCCUUUCUGUCCUUCUAUUCCUUGAAUGCCAGGGAAUUGGGGAAGCUGAUCCACCACCACCACCAGCAUCGUUAAAUUUUUUCUCCAAAUUGGAAGGAUCCAGAUCCCCAAAUUCCCUAUCUCCACUCUUACCCGAUCCCCUAGAAGAACCCCUCGAACCUGAACUGGAAUCACUUUCAUUGGCAUAUUUAGGACUAUCUACAUCUCUAGAAACUGAUCUCAAACUGCGAACCGGUAGCCCUAGAGGUUUAUAACCAACAACCUCACCACAUUCACCAGCAUUGUAGUUUGGUUGAGCAACAACCACCACUGGCUCACUGUGAUAGUACUCAGAAUUCCAAGCCUGAACCUCAUUGGUUCCAAUUCCAUUCCCAUCGCAUCUAAAAGAAUAACCAAAACUAUCUUCAGAAAUUGACAAAUGGGUUUUGUACUGUUCAUCAAAAACACCAACAGUAUCACCCCCAUUGGAGCACAUCCCCCCUGGCCUCCCAUCAAAGUACUGAUUAUUCCAACAAUGCGUCAUCAUCAUCAUCCUCUUCUCAUCAACCCCACAUGGAUUUCCAUUUUCAUUUUCACACCCAUCAUCAUCAAAAAUAGUGGAAGAAGCAGGAAACACUUUGGACACAUAACUAGGUGCAGCAGUGGAAUCAUCAGCACUAGAGUGAGCAGUUUCUAAUUCUAUGUGUGUGGUGUCAAGUUCUGAAUUUCUUCUACUAAAUAAACCAUAGGUGACAGCAAUGCCAAUGAAGAGAAGGUGGAGAAGCUCCCAGAACUUUUUGAGUAUGGUUUGGCUCAUAAAGUCAGGGGCUUGGGAGGGAAAAAGUGGAAGAACAACGACAAACAGUGCCAAUAACAGAGCUUUAAGGAUGAAACCUGAGCAAGACUUACCUUGGUUAGUGGGUUUUGGUUGGAUCCGGGAGCUGUGGUCGGAAAGUGGGAAAUGGGGUUUGGUGUAAGGGCUUGAAUCUGCCAUUGAUGAGUGAGUGAGUGAGGUGAGUCCCUCCCAGUCUCCCCCUUUGCUCUGUGAUGUGAAUGUGUUUGUGGUGUUGUGAUGUGAGAUGAGGAAUGAAGAAAGGAAGACUUUGAGGACAAGGAAAAGUGCAUCUGGGACAACACCAAGGAAGAUAAUAAAAGAUUAAGGUAAUUGCAAUUGUCCAACGUAGUGGGGCAGAAUUCAAAAGGUGUCACUGUCAAUCAUGGCCGUUUGCUUUUAAUGACAUUGCUACCCUUGUCUUCUUGAUUUGAGUUUUACCAUAUUUUUGGAACUUUUUUUUAGGUUUGGGUCAUCACAGGCCCAGCCAAAAUACAUUAUGCUUGAAUGUGUAGACUUCUUUUUAGGUUGGAUUAAAUAAAAGUUUAGAUUAGUUGAUGCUAGAACUUAUU
rnacentral:lncRNA from 1 species